rnacentral:misc_RNA from 1 species
GAUGAAGAACGUAGCGAAAUGCGAUACGUAAUGUGAAUUGCAGAAUUCAGUGAAUCAUCGAAUCUUUGAACGCAUAUUGCGCUCUUUGGUAUUCCGAAGAGCAUGCUUGUUUGAGUAUCAGUAAACACCUCAAAGCUUUUGGAUUUUUUAAUCGAAAAGCUUUGGACUUGAGCAAUCCCAACACCAAUCUUUUUGAGAUCGGUGGCGGGUUGCUUGAAAUGCAGGUGCAGCUGGACAUUUUCCUGAGCUAAAAGCAUAUUCAUUUAGUCCCGUCAAACGGAUUAUUACUUUUGCUGCAGCUAACAUAAAGGGAGUUUGACCGUAUUGGCUGACUGAUGCAGGAUUUCACAAGGGUCGGCAACGAUUCUUGUUAAACUCGAUCUCAAAUCAAGUAAGACUACCCGCUGAACUUAAGCAUAUCAAUAAGCGGAGGA